rnacentral:rRNA from 1 species
UACAGAGGUGGCAAGCGUUGUUCGGAAUUACUGGGCGUAAAGGGCGCGUAGGCGGCCCGCUAAGUCGAACGUGAAAUCCCCGAGCUCAACUCGGGAACUGCGUCCGAUACUGGUGGGCUUGAAUCCGGGAGAGGGAUGCGGAAUUCCUGGUGUAGAGGUGAAAUUCGUAGAUAUCAGGAGGAACAUCUGUGGCGAAGGCGACACCCUGGACCAGCACUGACACUGAGGCACGAAAGCGUGGGGAGCAAACAGG